rnacentral:rRNA from 1 species
GACGAACGCUGGCGGCGUGCUUAACACAUGCAAGUCGAACGGAAAGGCCCUGCUUUUGUGGGGUGCUCGAGUGGCGAACGGGUGAGUAACACGUGAGUAACCUGCCCUUGACUUUGGGAUAACUUCAGGAAACUGGGGCUAAUACCGGAUAGGAGCUCCUGCUGCAUGGUGGGGGUUGGAAAGUUUCGGCGGUUGGGGAUGGACUCGCGGCUUAUCAGCUUGUUGGUGGGGUAGUGGAUUACCAAGGCUUUGACGGGUAGCCGGCCUGAGAGGGUGACCGGCCACACCGGGACGGAGAUACGGCACAGACUCCUACGGGACGCAGCGGUGGGGAAUAUUGCACAAUGGGCGGAAGCCUGGUGCAGCAACGCCGCGUGCGGGAUGACGGGCUUCGGGUUGUAAACCGCUUUCGCCUGUGACGAAGCGUGAGUGACGGUAAUGGGUAAAGAAGCACCGGCUAACUACGUG